GUCGCCCAAUCUGCAGGGUAUGUAAGAGGUGAAGAAAGAGCAGCAUUGAAUGAAUUGGACUGAAAAGUCACAGAAAAAACAGUAAUUUUACCAAAACUGCUUGUGCACCAAGGGCUAAGGCCUUAAAUAUAUCUGUUCCUCGCCUCACUCCUCCAUCAAAGAGCACCGGAACUUUUCCCUUGACAGCAAGAACUACCUGCAAUCAUGUACAUCAGGAAUGUGUCUGUUCUUCAGACAGGCUCUGGAAUGGAUACACAAAGUAAAUCAUAUAUUUUUUUAGCUCAAGCAUAAUGAUGGUCAAAUUUGUGAAUGAAAUGAUAGCUUCCUCUUAGCAGGGCAACUAGCAACUUUCUUUCAAGCAUCUGGUGUGUCCUGGUCAGUAUAUCCUUCCAAACUAAAGUAAUAGUGAGAUUUCACAUGAUGCAGACAAAUCUCAUGAGAAGAAAAGGAAUUACCUCUUCAAGAACUGAUAUAGUGGCUGGAGUAUAAUCAAGCUGGCGAGCUCCAUGGUUAGACACAAUAAUACCUGCAACUCCUACUUCCAAUGCUUUUAUUGCUGCAGAAAAUAUCAUGUCGUAGUAUAAGUAAGACUUGGAUAAAGGUAUAGACUUCAAGCAGUUAUUCUAAAGAUAAAUGCUUAUGAUGCACUUUGUUAAAACUUAAAAGUAAAGAUGUCAACGGGCCAGGGUGGGGGCGGAGAAGGGAAAAAUCGUGUUAAGAUUGAAAUGUGAAGGAAAUUAGACCUCUUGACAACAAUGGGAAGGUUUUGAAACUUGGACUAAAGUGGGAAAAGAGCAUUUGAGAGAUGCCUUUCAUGUCAGGGAGAAGGGAAAAAUCGUGUCAAGACUGAAAUGUGAAGGAAAUUAGACCUCUUGACAACAAUGGGAAGGUUUUGAAACUUGGACUAAAGUGGGAAAAGAGCAUUUGGGAGAUGCCUUUCAUGUCAGAAACGCAUUUCCCACAUGCUUUUGUCCAAAGACGCAAGUGGGAUUUGUUUGCGUCUCAUGUAUAAUAAAUCCAGACGCAAGUUCGACUUGCGUUUGUGAUCAAUAUUUGAGAAACGCAAACGCUCUUUUCCCAUUCUAGUCCAAGUUUCAAAAUCUUCCCAUUUUUGUGACAAAAAUAAUUUUAUUCCCAUUUCAGUAUUUGACCUGGGAAAAAUCUCCCCAUCCCCGUCCCCACGGGUAUUAUCCAGGGACAGGGAAUCCCUUACUCCGUUUACAACUUAUAAAAAAGACAAAAUUAAAAUACAUUUAAAUAAAUAAGUCAUAUAUAUUCAUCUUUAACUUAAAGUACUACUAAAAUUAUAUAUUAUAUACUGAGUAAUGCAUAUAUAUGUGUGUGUCGUGUGGCUAGAAUGCUUAUCUAUGUAUAGUUUCUGGGGCAGGGCGGGGUUGGUACUCCCUGUGUGUCGUGUGGCUAGAAUGCUUAUCUAUGUAUAGUUUCGGGGGUGGGGCGGGGUUAGUACUCCCUGUCCCUGCCCGGCAAGGAAUUAGAAAUUUCCUCCAUCCCCACCCUUGUUCCCCAAUUUUCAUCCUCAUCCCUGUCCACGUCGGGGCGGGGAGUCGGGUUCCCCAUCGGGAAUGAGUACAAUUGACAUCCCUAGUUAAGAGUAUAGUUCAGCGCAUUGUACAUAAUUCUAAUAAGCUAUUGAUGGGAGAGCUGCAUAGAUUGCAGGGAGGAAACACAGUGCACAGGGAAUGACCCUCUUUGAUUCCUGCACUCUAGCAGAAUGUCAGAAACCGGCACUGGUAUAUAAUGAUGACCGAUGGAAAGCAAGUAAACAAUCCAGCCGUUGUCAGACCAAGGAUCCAGAUGUUGGCAAAUUUGAAACAAAGAUUCCAGGGAUCACUGGUAUGGAGAUGAUCUUGGAGGAGAUCUGCAAAGGAUUGGUUGCAGGGGAAUGGUGGGUUCAGAUGAUGUUGAUCAACAAGUUACUUGUGAACUACCUGUGGACAGGUGCAUUCCUACAAGUCACACAGUCCAGAAUCCUGUAGUGAAUCUAGCAAUGCAGAGUUUGAAUCUGCCUAACACGUAGGUAACUGUGGAAACACGUGGAAUGCUAGAGAACGAGGACAUGGAGUCCAUGUCAAAUGGCUAAGGGGAAAUCACAAGAUCAAACAUGAUAUUGUAUCAAUUUUGAAUAAAAUUUUGAUUGAUUUCGUUUUAGAUUAAGUCUAAACUUGUUUUAUGCUUGUUUGUCUUUGCUCCUCAUUAGUUUUCACUUUUCACUAUAUUUUUAGAUAUCUUUAUACUAUAAUUAUAUUUCUUUAUAGCUUUUCUUAAUUUUCUUUCAUUUUUUGUUGUUUUCUUUUUAAUAUUAAUUUCCUCGCAACUUUCAUUCGAUACGAACAAUAAAAACAGAUUCUUCUUUUUGAAGGAGAAUUAUGGGCUGACCAUCCUCAUGAGUGAGUAUCCCCUUGAGCAGAAUAGGUAACUUUGUAAUUGACUUUAACCAAGCUAUAUCCUGCAUUUUUUGUAAGCAGCACAAAAUAGUUAUAAAGAAAUUAAAUUAAUUUGAUGGCACAUUUUCAUGCUGUUUUUGUGAUAUUUUUCCUGUGAUGGGGCAAAGUUGAUUCAAACACCUAUAUGAGCAUUAAAGCCUGAGUGUUAUUUGAUCAGAAAGAAGUUUGAAGGUAAAUGAUGUUUGAGAAUGAGUUUAAUCAGAAAUUUCGUUUUAUUAUUAGUCAAAUCAGAAGUUUCCCUUGUGCCAUUGUAUUUAGAUUUUAGAAGAUUGAGUAUACAUUGUGAAUUUAUACCUUCCAACUGAGGGAACUGUCAAAAGUUGAUGAUGCAUAGGCUUCAAGACCAGAGCCGCUGCCCUGCAAACAACAGAUGAUUGAAUUCAUAGAAGCUACUGUAAGGUGUUGUUCUUUAUAAACUAAAAGACAAAAAGAGUUGAAAGAAAAAUGAGAUCAAGGAGCAUGUGCAUUCAAACAUCCAUAAACAGUGAGUCAUAUGAGUUUUAUCCUUUAUUAAUGUCAAAACAGUUGUGUAGGAUUCUGUAGUGUCUAUGAGCUUAUGCUUAUGUACAUAUGAAUGUGUUCUGUUCUGUGGAUAACUGUUAUUAUUCUCAACUUUGGCAUAUAAUGAAACCUUUCUUUCUUGUAAUAGUGCUAAAUUUGAUUUGCACUCAAGCUGACUUCUAACAUGAUAUUUGUAAAACAGAGCCUAUAUAAGAGGCGAGAAAACCUUGUUAAAUACACUUACAGGGACAACUGCGGUGGAGAUGAGCCCUUCAAAAUUCUUUGAUGGAGGUAAAACCAAUCUGCAGCAGUUUUGGAGAUAGAUGAUAUUCAUAUGAUAGGACAAUAAAAGCAAGCUUAUGAAUUCUCUUAUGUGUGGUGUGGAAGGAGCAUAUAUGGAGAUUGUGACAAAUAGGAAGAAGAGAAUACAUAGAUCUGAAAGAAGCGAACAGCAUUGCAGCUAGAGGCAACUUCCUCUAUCGAGCAGGAUGGGGAGAAUGACAAUCCCUAUCACAAUCAAGAGUGACUUUAACAUUAACAUCAGUUUUUAAGCGCACCAGCAGCCUAAGAGGACAAGUCUACGCGGCCAGAAGAAGGAACUUUAGUACCAUUAUGACGUCACAUGCCGCUGCUGCUCUAGCUGUUGCAACUUCCCCUGCAAAAUAUUUCAUUGCCUACUUGAAUCAGAGCAACACACACACACACACCAAGUUAGGUAAUAGAGCGGGUAACCCCCCUCCCCCGUCAAGAUGGUUUGGUUUGAUCUGGUUAGCUAUGGCUUAUGGGCAACUUAAGCUGGUUUACCUCUUUGUGGUCCUUUGCUGACUAGGAUCACAAGGUGGGGUUUACCCAGUGCACACCCUCGGGUAGUGAUUACGGGUUUCUCUUGUCACUUCAGAAAAAAAGUUAAGGUAAUAGAGUAAGAAGCAUACAUACCAUCAGGAUGUGCAAGUUUAUGCCUGUCAGUUGGGGCAAUGAUAAUGGGAGCUGAUGUUUUGUAACCCAGUAUUGUGGUUGACAUAUCAAUUCUGCUUACAUCAAUAAGAACUCUUGGCCGAAUACUGAAACCAGUGAAAUUUGAUGUUCAGAUUCA